rnacentral:rRNA from 1 species
ACUGAACGCUGGCGGCAUGCCUUACACAUGCAAGUCGAACGGCAGCACGGAGCUUGCUCUGGUGGCGAGUGGCGAACGGGUGAGUAAUAUAUCGGAACGUACCCAAGAGUGGGGGAUAACGUAGCGAAAGUUACGCUAAUACCGCAUACGAUCUAAGGAUGAAAGCAGGGGAUUGCAAGACCUUGUGCUCCUGGAGCGGCCGAUAUCUGAUUAGCUAGUUGGUGGGGUAAAGGCCCACCAAGGCAACGAUCAGUAGCUGGUCUGAGAGGACGACCAGCCACACUGGAACUGAGACACGGUCCAGACUCCUACGGGAGGCAGCAGUGGGGAAUUUUGGACAAUGGGGGCAACCCUGAUCCAGCAAUGCCGCGUGAGUGAAGAAGGCCUUCGGGUUGUAAAGCUCUUUUGUCAGGGAAGAAAAGGCUGUGGCUAAUAUCCACGGCUCAUGACGGUACCUGAAGAAUAGGCACCGGCUAACUACGUGCCAGCCGCCGCAGUAA